GAUGUGGACCAGAGGAGGGAUGGCAGUCUUGGAGUGAGUUUGUCUGAAGAGGGCAUGGGAGAGUCCCAAGGAGGCACUCAGGCCUCGGGAUUUGUUCAGCCACCCCACUACCCACCCUUUUCACAAAAUCCCGGGUAUUCGAUGGGAGGUAUGUAAUACCCGGCUAGACUCCGGUAUCGGAAUUCCUACCGUCCGGUGGAAUCUCGGGUGUCGGAGACCUCUAGAAGGGUAAAAUCAUGUUUUUAUAAAAUGUUUUAAUGUAUUUUAUGUUUUUAAGCUAGAAGAAAAAUGAGUUUUUGCAUGAAAAUAAUCUUGGAGGAAGACCCAGGUUUGGCCGCCGAACCUCAAGUUCGGCCGCCGAACAUGCAUGCACUUCGGGAGUGCUUUAGGCCCCCGAAAGCAUAAGUGAGAGAAGUCUAGGUUCGGCCGCCGAACAUGGCAUGCAUGCGAAGGCACGUUCGGUCCCCAAAUGUGGCCUGGCCAGCCACCUAUAAAAGGGUCCCUUAACCGAAACGGGUGAGCUUUUCUCCCCAUUUUCGGCCAAGGUGAGCUCUCCGCCGUCCCUCGCCGAUCUUGAGUUUCUUCCUUCCAUUCUUCAUGAUUUUUAUGAGUUUGCAACUUUGUUUUGAAGAUUUUUGAGCAUAAAGCAAGUUUUGGAGCUUUGCGGUUCAAGAAACUCAAUCUCUCCCAUCUCCGAGCUAGGGUCGUUUUCCUCUCGAUCUUCAAGGGGUAAGGGCCGAUCUUGAGCUCACUAUAUGUUUUUAAACAAGUUUUAAGUUGAUUCAUGGGGUAGAAAUGUAUGUUUAUGUUAGUUAAGCAUUGUUAGGUUUUAUGUGUUUUAUGGACAAUGUAUGUUGGAUAUGCAUGUUUGAUGUGUUGUAGAUGGGGUUUAGGAUAGUUUGAAGCCCCUAAGAGCUGAUGUAUGUAUCUAUGCAUGUUUUGGAUGAGUUGUAUGCUUGAUUGAAAGGUUGGGAGGCGUUUGUGCAUGUGUGAGUCGAGUUUCUGCCCUUUUGGCAGAAACCAGGUUCGGCAGCCGAAGGAGUUUCGGCCUCCGAACCUGCCUGGGAGGCAAGCCUUUCGGCUGCCGAAGCAUGCCCCCGAAAAGAGACUUUCGUCUCUGGAGGGCACUUUCGGCCGCCGAACCUGCCUGACUUUCGGCUCUAGAGGGACUUUCGGCCGCCGAACCUGCCGCCGAAAGUGCCCUGUUCAGCCUUCCUUUGCAUGUUUUGCAUGAUUGUUUUGAGGUGUUUUAGGGGGUAUUUGGGGGAUGUUUUUAGAGUCAUGUUCUAGUUGUUUGGUCCCUCAUUUGAGUCCAUCUGUGUAGGUUCGGACCCGAGGAACCGAUGACCCCAGUAGUGAGUCAGCUGCUUCAGUCUUUGUCAGAGCUAGUUGAGGUGAGUAGAAUAAACCUUUAUGUUUUAAAACAAAUAAAUUAUAAAGUUUGAGCAUGUUCAUGCAUCAUGAAUGCCAUGUGAUAUUCUAGGUUGUUUGCAUUAGAAUUCACGAAUAUGCUGUAUUGCAUUAUUCUAUGAUGGAUGUGGAUGGAUGUUGGAUGAUCCUUAGUCCUCGAUAUGAUGCGAUGUGAUAUGAUACGGUAUGGUAUGGUAUGGAAGUCCGGUUGACCCAUUCUACGUCCCGGCACUAUGUAAGAGAAAGACCGGUUGACCCAUUCUACGUCCCGGCACCUUGGAAAUGUUAUGUUAUGAUAUGUUUAAGAGAAAGACCGGUUGACCCAUUCUACGUCCCGGCAUUUUGGAAUGUAGAGGACUAUUGGUGACAAUACCAUCCGUGAUGUGAUUUGUCUGUGAUGUGUUGCAUUCCAUUAUGGCAUAUAAUUCAAAUGUUUUAUUAUUCUGCUCACUGGGCUCUAGUAGCUCACCCCUCUCCCUAAUCCCCCAGGUUUGCAGGUACGGGCUAGGCAGAGAAGUCAAGAUGAAUGAAGUCGUGUAUGUAAUGGUUAGAAUGUGGACAUGAUAAAUUGUAAAAUGAUGUAAAUGUUGAUUCUGAGAUUGAGGUUUAGAAAUUGUGCUUGACCGAGUUUGUAUAGUAAUCCAUUUUGUAAAUAUGAUCUAUGUUUUAUUAUGUUUAUGUUCCACCAAGCUUGUGUAUGAUGAGAUGCCCCAUUGGAGCGUUUGUUGAGAGCUCCAGUGUGGGGCUUAUGUUUAUGUUUAUGUAUAUGUUUAUGGGCAUGCACAGGUUGAGCUUGGUAAAAGAAAAGUUCAAAUUUUUAUGUAUGUUGUUGAUCAUGUAUGGGAUUAAUCAGGUUUACAGGAUGCAUGUCAGGCUUGCUACGGGUCCCGGCGGCCUUAUGCCGAUCUGGAUCCUAGCGCUGGUAGCGGUCCGAUUUUCGGGUCGUUACAAGGUACAUCGGAUUACCCCAGCUUUAAUCCUUACCCUUCUCACAUGCCAUACCCACCUUUCUACCCACCAUACUCACA
rnacentral:lncRNA from 1 species